rnacentral:ncRNA from 1 species
CCGCGUUAAAGGUAAAAUCAUCGAAAGAUGAUGACACAAAGCUAUGGGUCUAAAGCCAUCCAUCGGAGGGCCAUGAUCGCCAGGCCGCCAUA